rnacentral:rRNA from 1 species
UAGGCUGAAACUCGCCUACAUGAAGCUGGAGUUGCUAGUAAUCGCGAAUCAGCAUGUCGCGGUGAAUACGUUCCCGGGCCUUGUACACACCGCCCGUCACACCAUGAGAGUUGGCAAUACCCAACGUACGUGAUCUAACCCGCAAGGGAGGAAGCGUCCUAAGGUAGGGUCAGCGAUUGGGGUGAAGUCGUAACAAGGUAAC